rnacentral:rRNA from 2 species
CUAUGGUUUAUUGGAUCGUACCCGUUAAAUGGAUAACUGUAAUAACUCUAGAGCUAAUACAUGCCUUGAUGCCCUGACCCUUCUUCUUCUCGAGGUGGGGGAUGGGUGCACUUAUUAGAUCAGAAGCCAACCGUGUAGCAGCGCAAGUUGUUGCACGUUGUCCUUCUGGUGACUCUGGAUAAUUGUUACAGAUCGCAGUCGGCCUUGAGUCGGCGACGGGUCCUUCAAAUGUCUGCCCUAUCAACUGUCGAUGGUAGGUGACCUGCCUACCAUGGUGAUAACGGGUAACGGGGAAUCAGGGUUCGAUUCCGGAGAGGGAGCCUGAGAAACGGCUACCACUUCCAAGGGAGGCAGCAGGCGCGCAAAUUACCCACUCCCAGUACGGGGAGGUGGUGACGAAAAAUACCGAUGCGGGACUCAUCAUAGAGGCCCCGUAAUCGGAAUGAGUGAACUCUAAAUCCUUUCACGAGGAUCAAUUGGAGGGCAAGUCUGGUGCCAGCAGCCGCGGUAACUCCAGCUCCAAUAGCGUAUAUUAAAGUUGCUGCAGUUAAAAAGCUCGUAGUUGGAUCUCGGUUAUGCCCUUGACCCAUCUUGCCUGACGGGUAUUCACUCCAGUUGGUUAUGGCUACACGCUGUGCCCUGGGUGUGCUGCGGAAGGUGAGUGUGGGGCUACUUGGGUUUAACCUGUCAGCCAUGUCUGUGGUGAAAUAUCUACAGGUGUAGGCGAGUGUCAGGCGGUGCUUUGCAACAGUAAGGCCCGUCGGCUCGUUUGCAUGCCUUUGGAUGCCCUUUAAAAGGUGUCUGUAGGCGGAUGGCACGUUUACUUUGAACAAAUUUGAGUGCUCAAACCAGGCCGAUGUUGCCUGAAAAGUUUUGCAUGGAAUAAUGGAAUAGGACUUCGGUUCUAUUUCGUUGGUUUUCGGAUCCGAAGUAAUGAUCAAAAGAGACAGGCGGGGACGUUUGUAUGGCUGCGCUAGAGGUGAAAUUCAUGGACCGUAGCCAGACAAACUAAAGCGAAAGCAUUCGUCAAGCAUGUUUUCAUUGACCAUGAGCGAAAGUCAGAGGCUCGAAGACGAUCAGAUACCGUCCUAGUUCUGACCAUAAACGAUGCCAACUGACGAUCCGUGGUGGUAGUUAUCAACCUUCCCCACGGGCAGUCCCCGGGAAACCUUUAAGUCUUUGGGUUCCGGGGGAAGUAUGGUUGCAAAGCUGAAACUUAAAGGAAUUGACGGAAGGGCACCACCAGGAGUGGAGCCUGCGGCUUAAUUUGACUCAACACGGGAAAACUCACCCGGCCCGGACACUGUGAGGAUUGACAGAUUGAUAGCUCUUUCUUGAUUCAGUGGUUGGUGGUGCAUGGCCGUUCUUAGUUGGUGGAGCGAUUUGUCUGGUUAAUUCCGAUAACGAACGAGACUCCAGCCUGCUAAUUAGUGUGUCCGUCCACUGUUCCUGUGUAGGCGGCGUUCGACAUGACUGCCUUUGUUUGCUGGUGUAUUCAGGGUGCUGGCGCAAGUUGGUGCCCUGUUGCAUUGGUUAGAAGGCGGUCGGCUCGUCGUUAGCCUCCGGGUACGGCGCGGAUGCUUACUUCUUAGAGGGACAAGCGGGAGAAGCCGCACGAAAUUGAGCAAUAACAGGUCUGUGAUGCCCUUAGAUGUCCGGGGCCGCACGCGCGCUACAAUGACGGUGCCAACGAGUCUGACCUUCUGGCCCGAAAGGGUUGGGCAAACUGGUCAAUCACCGUCAUGACAGGGAUCGGGGCUUGGAAUUGUUCCCCGUGAACGAGGAAUUCCUAGUAAGUGCAAGUCAUAAGCUUGCGCUGAUUACGUCCCUGCCCUUUGUACACACCGCCCGUCGCUACUACCGAUUGAAUGGUUUAGUAAGGUCAUUGGAUUGGCGCCAUUGUGGCGAUUGCCGAAAGGUAGUCGUCCGACGUGUGCUGAGAAGACGACCAAACUUGAUCAUUUAGA